rnacentral:misc_RNA from 1 species
AGGCAACGGCUGUCUAUUGCUUCUACCAAAUCAGAAUUACUUAGGAAAGAUGGUGAAUCCACAACAUGAGCUGUUACAGUUAACUACUCAGGUAAAUGGGAUAAUAUUGUUUGUAGCAGCAUGCCUGGAAUUUUUGUAAAAAGAUUUAGUACCACUCUAGUUAGCAUUGUGUACCUGGGGGAAAUUUGGGUACUACAAGCUGCAUUUGCAUUGUCAAUAAGUCUGUAACUUGUAAUUUAUAUGAUCUUAAAUGAAGCUGCCUUUUUUUUUUUUAAUAUUUAAAAANAUUCUUAUUUGGUUUGGGUACCGUUUGUCCUGCAUGGUUUUAGCAGUAGUUUAUUGAAGGC